AUGUGAGUGUGGAGGUGAGGUGGCGGUAUUCAACGGGAUGUGUGUUCUCAGUCGUAGCCACAGUACAGGCAUCACACUGCCGAUUGCACUGGCACAGUGCUAAGCUACACGCACUAGUACCAACGAUUGUGUACCUGUCUUUUGAGGGUCGUUUGAUGUUGAGCUGUGACAGGGCCGAUAUAGUAAUCAUCCAUAGUGCCGGUUACUGCAAUACUAUGUGGAACACAUUGCCUUUUCCCAAGGUAGACUGUGCGUGAUCUGCCUUUUCCCAAGGUGGACUGUUCGUGAUCUGCCUUUUCCCAAGGUGGACUGUUCGUGAUCUGCCUUUUCCCAGGUGUAGACUGUGCGUGACCUACCAGAUAUUGUGCACCAGCCGGAUAUCUACAACAUGGUGAAUGUACCCGGAGCCAGGGGAACUGACUGACCAAGGUAUAGUGCCAACGCUCAACUAUGUGCCCACCGCGUAGACAAGACCAGCUGACUUGCUCUCAGUGCAUGACUGCUUGACACAACACUACUGCAGCAAAGACAACGAAUGAGUGAGCGUAUCGUUGUGGUAGUGGCGGUGGCUACGUCAUUCGUUUCUGCCCUGUGGUAGCCCGUUCCAUCAUCAGUACGUGCAGCCUAGCGAUGGCUGUGUCACAUGCACAGUAGCUACUGCAUGUGUGAGACUGCUGCAACACUAUCACUUCAGUGCAGAUGCCAACACGUGUUACAAGAACGCUUCGGCUUUCCUGGCCAUCGCAUCACCCGGCGUUCUGUUUGCCGCGUACUACCACACUGUACACUGUAACACUGGCUGCUGGCUGCACACUGGCUGCACACUGGCUGCACACUGGCUGCACACUAGACGGUCAAUACACACUGAUCAAGUGGAUACAUAUAGAUUAUAGACUGUCCACACAAACUGAUCAGGCCGGUGCUCCAUUUAGCCAGUUACACUUACUAUACUAACAGUGCUAUUGCUGCAACUAUUCACAUACAGAACACGAGUGCAGCGAGGAGACCUGGCCCUUUACUAUAAUGUACCAACGGAUGUGCCUUUUCUGUGGCCUUGUGUGUCUUGUAACUCUCUUGCAGACUGACUGUGCAUGCCCCCCCCCCCCCCCCCCACAGUGUCUGCUAAACCAUUUGCCAGUACAUGAUUGUACCGGUACAUUAUUUUGUUUUGCCUGUCCCAAUGCUGGCCAUUGAGGGCACACUCUUUCA